rnacentral:tRNA from 1 species
UUCCCCGUGGUGUAAUCGGCAACACUUCGGUUUUUGGUACCGACAUUCUAGGUUCGAGUCCUGGCGGGGAAG